AACGAACGCUGGCGGCAUGCCUAACACAUGCAAGUCGAACGAAGCCUUCGGGCUUAGUGGCGCACGGGUGCGUAACGCGUGGGAAUCUGCCCUUGGGUUCGGAAUAACAGUUAGAAAUGACUGCUAAUACCGAAUGAUGUCUUCGGACCAAAGAUUUAUCGCCCAAGGAUGAGCCCGCGUCGGAUUAGCUAGUUGGUGAGGUAAAGGCUCACCAAGGCGACGAUCCGUAGCUGGUCUGAGAGGAUGAUCAGCCACACUGGGACUGAGACACGGCCCAGACUCCUACGGGAGGCAGCAGUGGGGAAUAUUGGACAAUGGGCGAAAGCCUGAUCCAGCAAUGCCGCGUGAGUGAUGAAGGCCUUAGGGUUGUAAAGCUCUUUUACCCGGGACUGAUAAUGACAGUACCGGGAGGAAUAAGCCCCGGGCCUAACUCCGUGCCAGCAGCCGCGGUAAU
rnacentral:rRNA from 1 species